UGCAAGUCGAGCGGGGAAGUAUAGCUUGCUAUACGACCUAGCGGCGGACGGGUGAGUAAUGCUUAGGAAUCUGCCUAUUAGUGGGGGACAACAUUCCGAAAGGAAUGCUAAUACCGCAUACGCCCUACGGGGGAAAGCAGGGGAUCUUCGGACCUUGCGCUAAUAGAUGAGCCUAAGUCAGAUUAGCUAGUUGGUGGGGUAAAGGCCUACCAAGGCGACGAUCUGUAGCGGGUCUGAGAGGAUGAUCCGCCACACUGGGACUGAGACACGGCCCAGACUCCUACGGGAGGCAGCAGUGGGGAAUAUUGGACAAUGGGCGAAAGCCUGAUCCAGCCAUGCCGCGUGUGUGAAGAAGGCCUUUUGGUUGUAAAGCACUUUAAGCGAGGAGGAGGCUACCGAGAUUAAUACUCUUGGAUAGUGGACGUUACUCGCAGAAUAAGCACCGGCUAACUCUGUGCCAGCAGCCGCGGUAAUACAGAGGGUGCGAGCGUUAAUCGGAUUUACUGGGCGUAAAGCGUGCGUAGGCGGCUUUUUAAGUCGGAUGUGAAAUCCCUGAGCUUAACUUAGGAAUUGCAUUCGAUACUGGGAAGCUAGAGUAUGGGAGAGGAUGGUAGAAUUCCAGGUGUAGCGGUGAAAUGCGUAGAGAUCUGGAGGAAUACCGAUGGCGAAGGCAGCCAUCUGGCCUAAUACUGACGCUGAGGUACGAAAGCAUGGGGAGCAAACAGGAUUAGAUACCCUGGUAGUCCAUGCCGUAAACGAUGUCUACUAGCCGUU
rnacentral:rRNA from 1 species